UAAAUUCUGAAUCUGGAACAAGGAAACUUCAAAUUUUUGUUUUUCUCUAAGAAUUUAUAUUCUGAAAAAUGACAAAAAUAUAACCUCGCUCGACAGUGGAGUUACAUUCCGCUUAUAACUACAAUGUGCCAAACAUGUGAGGUGCUAGAUGGAUUAUGCAUUCAUUGUGGAAAUAUGAUCUCUAGUUAACAACAUCGGUGAACACCAUUCUCAUGCACAGUAGGCACAACGACGAGAAUCCUCGACGAAAUAUCUGUUGGAUGUCUGAACCGAUGAAGUUGUUUGACGAAAUUGAAUAUGAAAAGUGCACGGGCUCAACGCAAAAGUUCUCGAGCAUCUUGUCAAAUUUUACGUGAAUCAACCACGCGGAAGAGAAGGCGUGCAAAUGAAGCCCUAUCUACAACAUGGCGAGGGACUCGUUGUAAUGUUGCUGGUGAUAUGAAAAGAAUCCGACUCGAAGAAAAUUUCAAAUAUUUGCUAUCUAACAGACCUCGUCAUAGGCCGGCACCGGAGCUUUACCAGUGGAAGAAUACAUUUAAAGACACAAAACAAGACCGCUUGAUAAGAAGUUCUCCAUGGGUUAUAUAUGCGAAGACACAAAACAAGAUUUAGCAUUCAAUCAUAUAUUUGAUUUGACGACCACUGUUCAAAGUAUAUUCCAAGAGCUGUGCGAAGAGACAAGCACAAUCCAAAAUGGGAGAAGACUUACUAUCCGUGAUAAAUGAAGAAAUAUUCAAAUAUAGAUAUUAAAUACUUUACGCUUUCUUCUUUCACUGAGUCAUAAAAACAGAGUACCUGACAUUUUCUCGAGGGUUUAUUCAAAUAGCAAUCAAGAUGUGGGUGUUGCAUCAAAACACUUGAAGAAAGAAUAAACUGUUCAAACGUAAAUUUUUUAUUUAAUCAAACACUUUC